rnacentral:rRNA from 1 species
UACGUAGGUGGCAAGCGUUGUCCGGAAUUACUGGGCGUAAAGCGCGUGUAGGCGGCUAAGUAAGUCGGGCGUGAAAUCCCACGGCUCAACCGUGGAAGUGCACUCGAAACUGCAUAGCUAGAGUCCUGGAGAGGAAGGUGGAAUGCUUGGUGUAGAGGUGAAAUUCGUAGAUAUCAAGCGGAACACCGGUGGCGAAGGCGGCCUUCUGGACAGUGACUGACGCUGAGACGCGAAAGCGUGGGGAGCAAACAGG